GUGGGGAAUAUUGGACAAUGGGGGGAACCCUGAUCCAGCCAUGCCGCGUGUGUGAAGAAGGCCUUUUGGUUGUAAAGCACUUUAAGCGAGGAGGAGGCUACCGAGAUUAAUACUCUUGGAUAGUGGACGUUACUCGCAGAAUAAGCACCGGCUAACUCUGUGCCAGCAGCCGCGGUAAUACAGAGGGUGCAAGCGUUAAUCGGAUUUACUGGGCGUAAAGCGCGCGUAGGUGGCCAAUUAAGUCAAAUGUGAAAUCCCCGAGCUUAACUUGGGAAUUGCAUUCGAUACUGGUUGGCUAGAGUAUGUGAGAGGAUGGUAGAAUUCCAGGUGUAGCGGUGAAAUGCGUAGAGAUCUGGAGGAAUACCGAUGGCGAAGGCAGCCAUCUGGCCUAAUACUGACACUGAGGUGCGAAAGCAUGGGGAGCAAACAGGAUUAGAAACCCCAGUAGUCC
rnacentral:rRNA from 1 species